GGGAGCUUGGCCGAGUGGUCUAUGGCGUCAGAUUUAGGUACGCUGCAGUGUUGCAUUAAGCUUACUGAAUGCCAAAAUCUCUGAUAUCUUCGGAUGCGCGAGUUCGAAUCUCGUGGCUCUCA
rfam:Lipomyces starkeyi NRRL Y-11557 unplaced genomic scaffold LIPSTscaffold_1, whole genome shotgun sequence.